rnacentral:rRNA from 1 species
UACGUAGGGAGCAAGCGUUGUCCGGAAUCAUUGGGCGUAAAGCGCGUGUAGGCGGCCCGGUAAGUCCGCUGUGAAAGUCGGGGGCUCAACCCUCGAAUGCCGGUGGAUACUGUCGGGCUAGAGUGCGGAAGAGGCGAGUGGAAUUCCUGGUGUAGCGGUGGAAUGCGCAGAUAUCAGGAGGAACACCAAUAGCGAAGGCAGCUUGCUGGGACGGUACUGACGCUAAGGCGCGAAAGCGUGGGGAGCGAACAGG